GUUGAACGCUGCGGCAUGCCUUACACAUGCAAGUCGAACGGCAGCACGGGAGCAAUCCUGGUGGCGAGUGGCGAACGGGUGAGUAAUAUAUCGGAACGUGCCCAGUCGUGGGGGAUAACGCAGCGAAAGCUGUGCUAAUACCGCAUACGAUCUAAGGAUGAAAGCGGGGGAUCGCAAGACCUCGCGCGAUUGGGGCGGCCGAUAUCAGAUUAGGUAGUUGGUGGGGUAAAGGCCCACCAAGGCGACGAUCUGUAGCUGGUCUGAGAGGACGACCAGCCACACUGGAACUGAGACACGGUCCAGACUCCUACGGGAGGCAGCAGUGGGGAAUUUUGGACAACGGGCGCAAGCCUGAUCCAGCAAUGCCGCGUGCAGGAUGAAGGCCUUCGGGUUGUAAACUGCUUUUGUACGGAACGAAACGGCCCUUUCUAAUACAGGGGGCUAAUGACGGUACCGUAAGAAUAAGCACCGGCUAACUACGUGCCAGCCGCCGCAGUAA
rnacentral:rRNA from 1 species